rnacentral:rRNA from 1 species
AAAGACCUUAUGCUUUUGGAGCGGCCGAUGUCUGAUUAGCUAGUUGGUAAGGUAAAGGCUUACCAAGGCGACGAUCAGUAGUUGGUCUGAGAGGACGACCAGCCACACUGGGACUGAGACACGGCCCAGACUCCUACGGGAGGCAGCAGUGGGGAAUUUUGGACAAUGGGCGAAAGCCUGAUCCAGCAAUGCCGCGUGAGUGAAGAAGGCCUUCGGGUUGUAAAGCUCUUUCAGUCGAGAAGAAAAGAUUGUGACUAAUAAUCAUAAUUUAUGACGGUAUCGACAGAGGAAGCACCGGCUAACUACGUGCCAGCAGCCGCGGUAAUACGUAGGGUGCGAGCGUUAAUCGGAAUUACUGGGCGUAAAGGGUGCGCAGGCGGUUCUGCAAGUCAGAUGUGAAAUCCCCGGGCUUAACCUGGGAACU